UACGAAGGGGGGCUAGCGUUGUUCGGAAUCACUGGGCGUAAAGGGCGCGUAGGCGGUGACUUAAGCGUGUGGUGAAAGCUCGGGGCCUCAACCCCCGAGUCGGCCGGUGCGAACUGGGUCACUGGAGCAUGUCAGAGGCAGGCGGAAUUCCGGGGUGUAGCGGUGGAAUGCGUAGAGAUCCGGGAAGAACACCGGUGGCGAAGGGCGGCCUGCUGGGGGUGGAGCUGACGGCUGAGGCGCGACAGCGUGGGGGAGCAAACAGG
rnacentral:rRNA from 1 species